UCCAAUCGAACUCGGAGAUAGCUGGUUCUCCCCGAAAUAGCUUUAGGGCUAGCGUCGGAUAUGUGUAGUGGAGGUAGAGCACUGAAUGGGCUAGGGGGCAUAUCGCUUACCGAACCUUAUCAAACUCCGAAUGCCAUAUACAUUUAGUCCGGCAGUCAGACUACGAAUGAUAAGAUCCGUGGUCAAAAGGGAAACAGCCCAGAUCGUCAGCUAAGGUCCCAAAGUGUAAGUUAAGUGGAAAAGGAUGUGGGAUUUCUAAGACAACUAGGAUGUUGGCUUAGAAGCAGCCACUCAUUUAAAGAGUGCGUAAUAGCUCACUAGUCGAGAGAUCCUGCGCCGAAAAUGUCCGGGGCUAAAACUUACCACCGAAGCUACGGGCUUGCGUAAGCAAGCGGUAGGGGAGCGUCGUAAUCGGGCUGAAGUCGUACCGUAAGGAGCGGUGGACUGAUUACGAGUGAGAAUGUUGGCAUUAGUAGCGAGAUGUAGGUGAGAAUCCUACAGGCCGAAUAUCUAAGGUUUCCUCAGGAAGGCUCGUCCGCUGAGGGUUAGUCGGGACCUAAGCCGAGGCCGAAAGGCGUAGGCGAUGGACAACAGGUUGAUAUUCCUGUACCACUACCAUCGUUAUUAUCGAGGGUGUGACGGAGAAGGAUAGUGUGUGCUAGCGAUUGGAAAUGCUAGUCUAAGCGUUUAGGCAGUUACGGUAGGCAAAUCCGCUGUAAUGUUAAUGCUGAGGCGUGAUGGGGAAGGCCCUUGAGGCUGAAGUACAUGAUUCCAUGCUUCCAAGAAAAGCAUCUAGAGAGAGAAGUAGUGCCCGUACCGCAAACCGACACAGGUAGAUGAGGAGAGAAUCCUAAGGCCGGCGGAAGAAUUGCAGUUAAGGAACUAGGCAAAUUGACCCCGUAAGUUAGCGAGAAGGGGUGCCUACGAGAGUAGGCCGCAGAGAAUAGGCCCAAGCAACUGUUUAGCAAAAACACAGGUCUCUGCUAAAGCGCAAGCUGAUGUAUAGGGGCUGACGCCUGCCCGGUGCUGGAAGGUUAAGGGGAACACUUAGCGCAAGCGAAGGUGUGAACUUAAGCCCCAGUAAACGGCGGCCGUAACUAUAACGGUCCUAAGGUAGCGAAAUUCCUUGUCAGGUAAGUUCUGACCCGCACGAAUGGCGUAAUGACUUGGGCACUGUCUCAACUGCAAAUCCGGCGAAGUUGUAGUGCGAGUGAAGAUGCUCGCUACCCGCGAUUGGACGGAAAGACCCCGUAGAGCUUUACUGUAGCUUAGCAUUGAAUUCCGGUAUUGUCUGUACAGGAUAGGUGGGAGACUGGGAAACUAGGGCGUCAGCCUUAGUGGAGUCAUCCUUGGGAUACCACCCUGACAGUACUGGGGUUCUAACAGGAUGCCAUGAAUCUGGUGACUGGACAUUGUUAGGUGGGCAGUUUGACUGGGGCGGUCGCCUCCUAAAAAGUAACGGAGGCGCCCAAAGGUUCCCUCAGAACGGUCGGAAAUCGUUCGUAGAGUGCAAAGGCAGAAGGGAGCCUGACUGCGAGACCUACAAGUCGAGCAGGGACGAAAGUCGGGCUUAGUGAUCCGGUGGUACCUCGUGGGAGGGCCAUCGCUCAACGGAUAAAAGCUACCUCGGGGAUAACAGGCUGAUCUCCCCCAAGAGUCCACAUCGACGGGGAGGUUUGGCACCUCGAUGUCGGCUCGUCGCAUCCUGGGGCUG
rnacentral:rRNA from 1 species